CCUGGCCUGCCCAAGUGCCCAGAGACACCGAAUGAAGAACGAGUCUCAGCAGCCUCUUUCACACAGAGAGGAAGAAUGAGGAAAUCAAGCUAAGCAGACCAGAGGCA
rnacentral:lncRNA from 1 species